rnacentral:lncRNA from 1 species
UAACUACAUGAUAAGACAUAAAGACAAAAGAGCUCUAAGGAGGCCCUGCUCCCUCCGACCUAGGGUUAUCACCUCCAUCCCUCAACCAGGACUGCCUCAAAUUCUCCAUUGCUUCUUCUAGUUCUUCCCUCUUCCGCAGCGUAUCCUGGAGCGCCUGACGAAGUUGCCGGCUCUCAGCCUCCGCUUCUCGACACCGCUUCCGCAAAACUUCGGACUCCGCCUCUGCGUC